rnacentral:RNase_P_RNA from 1 species
GGAGCCGGCCAGACAGUCGCGUCAUCGGAAACGAUGCCGAGGAAAGUCCGGGCUCCACAGGGCACGGUGCCAGGUAACGCCUGGGCGGCGCGAGCCGACGGAAAGUGCAACAGAAAGAUACCGCCGAACGGUUCUUCGGAAUGCGUGGCAAGGGUGAAAUGGUGCGGUAAGAGCGCACCGCGAGUCCGGCAACGG